CCUGGUGGCCAUAGCGAGGGCCAUUACACCCGAUCCCAUCCCGAACUCGGCCGUGAAAUCCCUCUGCGCCCAUGGUACUGCGUCUCAAGACGUGGGAGAGUCGGUCGCCGCCAGGU
rnacentral:rRNA from 1 species